rnacentral:tRNA from 1 species
GAGGUUGUGGCUCAGUGGUAGAGCACUCGCCUAGCAUGUGUGAGGCCCUGGGUUCAAGGCCACCUUA